UUUCGGCGUGCCUAAUACAUGCAAGUAGAACGCUGAAGAGAGGAGCUUGCUCUUCUUGGAUGAGUUGCGAACGGGUGAGUAACGCGUAGGUAACCUGCCUUGUAGCGGGGGAUAACUAUUGGAAACGAUAGCUAAUACCGCAUAACAAUGGAUGACACAUGUCAUUUAUUUGAAAGGGGCAAAUGCUCCACUACAAGAUGGACCUGCGUUGUAUUAGCUAGUAGGUGAGGUAACGGCUCACCUAGGCGACGAUACAUAGCCGACCUGAGAGGGUGAUCGGCCACACUGGGACUGAGACACGGCCCAGACUCCUACGGGAGGCAGCAGUAGGGAAUCUUCGGCAAUGGGGGCAACCCUGACCGAGCAACGCCGCGUGAGUGAAGAAGGUUUUCGGAUCGUAAAGCUCUGUUGUAAGUCAAGGACGAGUGUGAGAGUGGAAAGUUCACACUGUGACGGUAGCUUACCAGAAAGGGACGGCUAACUACGUGCCAGCAGCCGCGGUAAUACGUAGGUCCCGAGCGUUGUCCGGAUUUAUUGGGCGUAAAGCGAGCGCAGGCGGUUUGAUAAGUCUGAAGUUAAAGGCUGUGGCUCAACCAUAGUUCGCUUUGGAAACUGUCAAACUUGAGUGCAGAAGGGGAGAGUGGAAUUCCAUGUGUAGCGGUGAAAUGCGUAGAUAUAUGGAGGAACACCGGUGGCGAAAGCGGCUCUCUGGUCUGUAACUGACGCUGAGGCUCGAAAGCGUGGGGAGCGAACAGGAUUAGAUACCCUGGUAGUCCACGCCGUAAACGAUGAGUGCCAGGUGUUGGAUCCUUUCCGGGAUUCAGUGCCGCAGCUAACGCAUUAAGCACUCCGCCUGGGGAGUACGACCGCAAGGUUGAAACUCAAAGGAAUUGACGGGGGCCCGCACAAGCGGUGGAGCAUGUGGUUUAAUUCGAAGCAACGCGAAGAACCUUACCAGGUCUUGACAUCCCGAUGCUAUUUCUAGAGAUAGAAAGUUACUUCGGUACAUCGGUGACAGGUGGUGCAUGGUUGUCGUCAGCUCGUGUCGUGAGAUGUUGGGUUAAGUCCCGCAACGAGCGCAACCCCUAUUGUUAGUUGCCAUCAUUCAGUUGGGCACUCUAGCGAGACUGCCGGUAAUAAACCGGAGGAAGGUGGGGAUGACGUCAAAUCAUCAUGCCCCUUAUGACCUGGGCUACACACGUGCUACAAUGGUUGGUACAACGAGUUGCGAGUCGGUGACGGCAAGCUAAUCUCUUAAAGCCAAUCUCAGUUCGGAUUGUAGGCUGCAACUCGCCUACAUGAAGUCGGAAUCGCUAGUAAUCGCGGAUCAGCACGCCGCGGUGAAUACGUUCCCGGGCCUUGUACACACCGCCCGUCACACCACGAGAGUUUGUAACACCCGAAGUCGGUGAGGUAACCUUUUGGAGCCAGCCGCCUAAGGUGGGAUAGAUGAUU
rnacentral:rRNA from 1 species